UACGUAGGGGGCAAGCGUUGUCCGGAUUUAUUGGGCGUAAAGAGCGUGUAGGCGGCCAAACAGGUCAGCUGUGAAAACUCGAGGCUCAACCUCGAGACGUCGGUUGAAACCGUUUGGCUAGAGUCCGGAAGAGGAGAGUGGAAUUCUCGGUGUAGCGGUGAAAUGCGCAGAUAUCGGGAAGAACACCCGUGGCGAAGGCGGCUCUCUGGGACGGUACUGACGCUGAGACGCGAAAGCGUGGGGAGCGAACAGG
rnacentral:rRNA from 1 species